GGGCCCGCACAAGCGGCGGAGCAUGCGGAUUAAUUCGAUGCAACGCGAAGAACCUUACCAAGGCUUGACAUGUGCCGGAAAAGUGCAGAGAUGUGCUCCCCGCAAGGUCGGUACACAGGUGGUGCAUGGUUGUCGUCAGCUCGUGUCGUGAGAUGUUGGGUUAAGUCCCGCAACGAGCGCAACCCUCGUUCUAUGUUGCCAGCGGGUUAUGCCGGGGACUCAUAGGAGACUGCCGGGGUCAACUCGGAGGAAGGUGGGGAUGACGUCAAAUCAUCAUGCCCCUUAUGUCUUGGGCUUCACGCAUGCUACAAUGGCCAGUACAAAGGGCUGCGAUACCGCAAGGUGGAGCGAAUCCCAAAAAACUGGUCUCAGUUCGGAUUGGGGUCUGCAACUCGACCCCAUGAAGUCGGAGUCGCUAGUAAUCGCAGAUCAGCAACGCUGCGGUGAAUACGUUCCCGGGCCUUGUACACACCGCCCGUCAAGUCACGAAAGUCGGUAACACCCGAAGCCGGUGGCCCAACUCGCAAGAGGGGGAGCCGUCAAAGGUGGGACUGGCGAUUGGGACU
rnacentral:rRNA from 1 species